CCUAAAUCCUUCCUGACCCCAAGCCUGCUCUCCCCUCACAGCAGACACAGUGCCACUGCAGAAGGCAGGCACUUGCACCCCUGCCCUGACCUCACCUUCUUCUGUAAGGCGCAGUGAAAGACAAAGAUGAAGACCCCCUGGAAGGCGUUGAAAGUGGUGAAGAGAUAGGCCAUGACCACCGACUCCUUAUUGAUGAAGAGCAGGCCGAAAGCCCAAGUGAGACCCAGCAGGAAGAGCAGCGCGAUGGCCCCCAGGGCCCAGGAUCUGGGGAGGGGGAGAGGGAGAAGGGAUAUCAAAGUCCCUUACAGUGGAGAAACCCUGCCCCGUAGCCCUGCUGCGUUGCGUGUCCCUCUUCAGGCGAGCCUCGAUGCCGUCUGCAAAGACCCACCUAGGAUGCGUGGGCCUCGGGGGGAAUGGCCUGCACAGCCGUACUUUCAACCAGCCCGGGCCCGAGGUCGGGGUUUGGGGUUUUGCAAAGGUCAGUCAUUAGCCUUCACCCUUUGGUCCGUGUUUCCAGAC
rnacentral:lncRNA from 1 species